CGCGGGAUAGCUCAGUGGUAGAUGCGCUGGUCUCACGAGCCAGAGGACGAAUGUUCGAAUCAUUCUCCCGCAA
rnacentral:tRNA from 1 species